GCCCAAAAUCUAGUUCUUUUUCUCCGCCAAUCACCACCACAUUAAAACAAAACAUUUGACACAACUAGUAGAUGAGAUCGAAAGUUUUCUUUAGACACAAUAGAAAUAGUACCGUAAGGGAAAGACACCCAAGCCAAAAAAAGCAGAGAUUAAACCUCGUACCUUUCGCAUCAUGGUUUAGCAAGCAUACACUCAAGCAAGAAGCCUCCCGCUUGACCUCCCGAAACCAAGUGAGCUACUUUCAGGCAGUCAAAGGACUAUUUAAUCUCUGUAGCAAAAGAGAAAAAAGACCUCAAAGUAGAAGUGAAAAGCCUAUCGAACUUGGUGAUAGCUGGUUGCUCAAUUAGGGGUUCAGCCCCCCCUUAUUUCAUAAGGAGACUCAUUAGGGGUUCAGCUCUAAUGAAAAAGGAUACAACCUGAAGCCGAAAGAAAAAAAGACAAUAAUCAUCAGUUGGCCUUUAAGCAGCCACCCACAAAGAAAGCGUCACAGCACUUCCCACCUAAAAAUCCCAAACUCAAACUCCACCUCCGGCACAACUAAGAGCAACUCUAUAAACAUAGAAAAACUAAUGCUAAAACUACUAACAAGAAGCACCCUCCAGACAUACCUAUCAGUCAGAGAUAGACCAACUACUGACAAACAUCAGACACACGGAAACUCACCUAAAUAACCCGCCCCUUCACUGUGAAUCCAACACAGGCAUGUCAUCAAGGAAAGAUAAAAAGUUAUAAAAGGAACUCGGCAACCCAUAACUCCAACUGUUUACCAAAAACAUAACCUUUAGCCGAACAAGUAUUAAAGGCAAUACCUGCCCAGUGAGAAAAAUCUUAAACGGCCGCGGUACCCUAACCGUGCAAAGGUAGCAUAAUCACUUGUCUACUAAUUAUAGACUAGCAUGAAAGGUCACAUGAGAGUUAGACUGUCUCUUAUAACCCAUCAGUGAAACUGAUCUUACAGUCCAAAAGCUGUAAUAAACCUAUAAGACGAGAAGACCCUGUGAAACUUCAAUUUCUCUCCCGCCCAUUCGGAAGAAAAUUUCAGUUGGGGCGACUUUGGAAUAAACAAAACUUCCAAAUACAUAGGAUACCAAACUCCUCCUACAGGCCUACAAGCCCAAACACGACCCAGUAAACCUGACAGAUGAACCAAGCUACUCCAGGGAUAACAGCGCCAUCUUCUUCAAGAGUCCUUAUCAAAAAGAAGGCUUACGACCUCGAUGUUGGAUCAGGGCACCCAAGUGGCGCAGCCACUACUAAAGGUUCGUUUGUUCAACGAUUAACAGC
rnacentral:rRNA from 1 species